CUAUCCUUUAAUAAAAUCCUCAAAAUUAUUAGGUCCCUAAAAUGAUUAAGUUAUAGUGAUAACUAAGUCAUAGCCUCCCAUUAAGUGAGUGAUAAUCAGUCCAUUAGUUUAAUAAUCAUUGGAGGCCCAAAGGCCUGGUGCUUAUUGACUAAUGAAAUUAUCAUUCAUAAUAUGAUAAUUUGGUUUGAGUCUUUCUGAUGGUGGUCAGGUUGGCCGGCCAAAGUUGGGCCUGAUCAUUUAUUGGUCCGAUUCACCAAAUCAAGUCAUGUUAAUGGUUGGACCUAACCAGAUCUUUUCAGUGGAGGCCAAAGCCUACUAAUUAGGUUCUGGGGCAAAAUGAAUUACUAGAAGUUGUUUAGAGAAACAACUGGUUAUGAACCUACCCAUAGAUGCACAUGGGUUGACCAACCAAAGUUGGGCUUGUG
rnacentral:lncRNA from 1 species